GGGUUGUGAGGUUAAGCGACUAAGCGUACACGGUGGAUGCCCUGGCAGUCAGAGGCGAUGAAGGACGUGCUAAUCUGCGAAAAGCGUCGGUAAGGUGAUAUGAACCGUUAUAACCGGCGAUGUCCGAAUGGGGAAACCCAGUGCAAUUCGUUGCACUAUCGUUAACUGAAUACAUAGGUUAACGAGGCGAACCGGGGGAACUGAAACAUCUAAGUACCCCGAGGAAAAGAAAUCAACCGAGAUUCCCCCAGUAGCGGCGAGCGAACGGGGAGCAGCCCAGAGUCUGAAUCAGCUUGUGUGUUAGUGGAACGGUCUGGAAAGUCCGACGGUACAGGGUGAUAGUCCCGUACACCAAAAUGCACAGGUUGUGAACUCGAAGAGUAGGGCGGGACACGUGGUAUCCUGUCUGAAUAUGGGGGGACCAUCCUCCAAGGCUAAAUACUCCUGACUGACCGAUAGUGAACCAGUACCGUGAGGGAAAGGCGAAAAGAACCCCGGCGAGGGGAGUGAAAAAGAACCUGAAACCGUGUACGUACAAGCAGUGGGAGCACCUUUAUGGUGUGACUGCGUACCUUUUGUAUAAUGGGUCAGCGACUUAUAUUCUGUAGCAAGGUUAACCGUAUAGGGGAGCCGCAGGGAAACCGAGUCUUAACUGGGCGUUAAGUUGCAGGGUAUAGACCCGAAACCCGGUGAUCUAGCCAUGGGCAGGUUGAAGGUUGGGUAACACUAACUGGAGGACCGAACCGACUAAUGUUGAAAAAUUAGCGGAUGACUUGUGGCUGGGGGUGAAAGGCCAAUCAAACCGGGAGAUAGCUGGUUCUCCCCGAAAGCUAUUUAGGUAGCGCCUCGUGAACUCAUCUUCGGGGGUAGAGCACUGUUUCGGCUAGGGGGUCAUCCCGACUUACCAACCCGAUGCAAACUACGAAUACCGAAGAAUGUUAUCACGGGAGACACACGGCGGGUGCUAACGUCCGUCGUGAAGAGGGAAACAACCCAGACCGCCAGCUAAGGUCCCAAAGUCAUGGUUAAGUGGGAAACGAUGUGGGAAGGCACAGACAGCCAGGAUGUUGGCUUAGAAGCAGCCAUCAUUUAAAGAAAGCGUAAUAGCUCACUGGUCGAGUCGGCCUGCGCGGAAGAUGUAACGGGGCUAAACCAUGCACCGAAGCUGCGGCAGCGACACUAUGUGUUGUUGGGUAGGGGAGCGUUCUGUAAGCCUGCGAAGGUGACCUGUGAGGGUUGCUGGAGGUAUCAGAAGUGCGAAUGCUGACAUAAGUAACGAUAAAGCGGGUGAAAAGCCCGCUCGCCGGAAGACCAAGGGUUCCUGUCCAACGUUAAUCGGGGCAGGGUGAGUCGACCCCUAAGGCGAGGCCGAAAGGCGUAGUCGAUGGGAAACAGGUUAAUAUUCCUGUACUUGGUGUUACUGCGAAGGGGGGACGGAGAAGGCUAUGUUAGCCGGGCGACGGUUGUCCCGGUUUAAGCAUGUAGGCUGGUUAUCCAGGCAAAUCCGGAUAAUCAAGGCUGAGGUGUGAUGACGAGGCACUACGGUGCUGAAGUAACAAAUGCCCUGCUUCCAGGAAAAGCCUCUAAGCAUCAGGUAACAUCAAAUCGUACCCCAAACCGACACAGGUGGUCAGGUAGAGAAUACCAAGGCGCUUGAGAGAACUCGGGUGAAGGAACUAGGCAAAAUGGUGCCGUAACUUCGGGAGAAGGCACGCUGGUGUGUAGGUGAAGCCCCUGCGGGUGGAGCUGAGACCAGUCGAAGAUACCAGCUGGCUGCAACUGUUUAUUAAAAACACAGCACUGUGCAAACACGAAAGUGGACGUAUACGGUGUGACGCCUGCCCGGUGCCGGAAGGUUAAUUGAUGGGGUUAUCCGUAAGGAGAAGCUCUUGAUCGAAGCCCCGGUAAACGGCGGCCGUAACUAUAACGGUCCUAAGGUAGCGAAAUUCCUUGUCGGGUAAGUUCCGACCUGCACGAAUGGCGUAAUGAUGGCCAGGCUGUCUCCACCCGAGACUCAGUGAAAUUGAACUCGCUGUGAAGAUGCAGUGUACCCGCGGCAAGACGGAAAGACCCCGUGAACCUUUACUAUAGCUUGACACUGAACAUUGAGCCUUGAUGUGUAGGAUAGGUGGGAGGCUUUGAAGCGUGGACGCCAGUCUGCGUGGAGCCAACCUUGAAAUACCACCCUUUAAUGUUUGAUGUUCUAACGUUGGCCCCUUACCGGGGUUGCGGACAGUGUCUGGUGGGUAGUUUGACUGGGGCGGUCUCCUCCCAAAGCGUAACGGAGGAGCACGAAGGUUAGCUAAUCCUGGUCGGACAUCAGGAGGUUAGUGCAAUGGCAUAAGCUAGCUUGACUGCGAGCGUGACGGCGCGAGCAGGUGCGAAAGCAGGUCAUAGUGAUCCGGUGGUUCUGAAUGGAAGGGCCAUCGCUCAACGGAUAAAAGGUACUCCGGGGAUAACAGGCUGAUACCGCCCAAGAGUUCAUAUCGACGGCGGUGUUUGGCACCUCGAUGUCGGCUCAUCACAUCCUGGGGCUGAAGUAGGUCCCAAGGGUAUGGCUGUUCGCCAUUUAAAGUGGUACGCGAGCUGGGUUUAGAACGUCGUGAGACAGUUCGGUCCCUAUCUGCCGUGGGCGCUGGAGAAUUGAGGGGGGCUGCUCCUAGUACGAGAGGACCGGAGUGGACGCAUCACUGGUGUUCGGGUUGUCAUGCCAAUGGCACUGCCCGGUAGCUAAAUGCGGAAGAGAUAAGUGCUGAAAGCAUCUAAGCACGAAACUUGCCCCGAGAUGAGUUCUCCCUGAGACUUUAAGUCUCCUGAAGGAACGUUAAAGACGAUGACGUUGAUAGGCCGGGUGUGUAAGCGCAGCGAUGCGUUGAGCUAACCGGUACUAAUGAACCGUGAGGCUUAACCUUACAACGCCGAAG
rnacentral:rRNA from 1 species